UUCUCAUAAGAAGAGGAAAUCAGGACAAAGACACAUGAAGAGGGAAGACCAUGUGAAGAAACAGGAAGAAGACGGCCAUCUACAAGGCCAGGAGAGACUCCGAAGAAACCUACCCUGUUGAUGUGCUGAUUUUGGACCUCUAGCCUCCAGAGCUGUACAGAUGCCAACAGAAAUCGAUUGAGGAAGCAAGCAGGCUUCCAGAAAUUCACCAACACCUGAUCAGCUUUUUGCCUGCAAGUUAAAGUGACCUCUUGGGUCAAACCCUAGGUCCCUUUGAUUUUGACAUUUGCAGAGGGGUGUGAAAACCUCUUUGCUUGUUCUGGGUUGUGUGAGCUGCUUUCUCUUUCACCCUUGAUGUACGGUAAGAAAGGAGCAAUCAGAGACAGGCAUUUGGUGAGGCUUUAGUUUGUACCACUUUCACUCUUGUCCCCAACUCCCGCCUUGUCCAUGCUGGGUGUUCCCUGUACGAAUUAAAUGUACAGAUCUGAUAUUUUCCAAUUUGUAAACCUGAAUUCAAUUAGACUUUUAUCAUGGGUCAUACAAAGCAGAAAUGCAUGUUUAUCAUGAUUCUGGAGUUCUAGUGAAUCAAGUGUUAAUUUCACAAGGCUUCAUUGAUUUGAAAUAAAUAAUGGGCAAUUUUCCUUCUGAAGGCUAAA